UGGGGAAUUUUGGACAAUGGGCGAAAGCCUGAUCCAGCAAUGCCGCGUGUGUGAAGAAGGCCUUCGGGUUGUAAAGCACUUUUGUCCGGAAAGAAAUCCUUGGCUCUAAUACAGUCGGGGGAUGACGGUACCGGAAGAAUAAGCACCGGCUAACUACGUGCCAGCAGCCGCGGUAAUACGUAGGGUGCAAGCGUUAAUCGGAAUUACUGGGCGUAAAGCGUGCGCAGGCGGUUUGCUAAGACCGAUGUGAAAUCCCCGGGCUCAACCUGGGAACUGCAUUGGUGACUGGCAGGCUAGAGUAUGGCAGAGGGGGGUAGAAUUCCACGUGUAGCAGUGAAAUGCGUAGAGAUGUGGAGGAAUACCGAUGGCGAAGGCAGCCCCCUGGGCCAAAUACUGACGCUCAUGUACGAAAGCGUGGGGAGCAAACAGGAUUAGAUACCCUGGUAGUCCACGCCCUAAACCGAUGUCAACUAGUUGUUGGGAUUCAUUUCCUUAGUAACGUAGCUAACGCGUGAAGUUGACCGCCUGGGGAGUACGGUCGCAAGAUUAAAACUUAAAUGAAUUGACGGGGUCAUAGCUGUUUCCU
rnacentral:rRNA from 1 species